UACGGAGGGAGCUAGCGUUGUUCGGAAUUACUGGGCGUAAAGCGCACGUAGGCGGCUUUGUAAGUUAGAGGUGAAAGCCCAGGGCUCAACCCUGGAAUUGCCUUUAAGACUGCAUCGCUAGAAUUGUGGAGAGGUAAGUGGAAUUCCGAGUGUAGAGGUGAAAUUCGUAGAUAUUCGGAAGAACACCAGUGGCGAAGGCGACUUACUGGACACAUAUUGACGCUGAGGUGCGAAAGCGUGGGGAGCAAACAGG
rnacentral:rRNA from 1 species